UACACUCCUACGGGAGGCAGCAGUGGGGAAUUUUGGACAAUGGGCGAAAGCCUGAUCCAGCAAUGCCGCGUGCAGGAUGAAGGCCUUCGGGUUGUCAACUGCUUUUGUACGGAACGAAAAAGCUCCUUCUAAUACAGGGGGCCCAUGACGGUACCGUAAGAAUAAGCACCGGCUAACUACGUGCCAGCAGCCGCGGUAAUACGUAGGGUGCGAGCGUUAAUCGGAAUUACUGGGCGUAAAGCGUGCGCAGGCGGUUAUGUAAGACAGAUGUGAAAUCCCCGGGCUCAACCUGGGAACUGCAUUUGUGACUGCAUGGCUAGAGUACGGUAGAGGGGGAUGGAAUUCCGCGUGUAGCAGUGAAAUGCGUAGAUAUGCGGAGGAACACCGAUGGCGAAGGCAAUCCCCUGGACCUGUACUGACGCUCAUGCACGAAAGCGUGGGGAGCAAACAGGAUUAGAAACCCCGGUAGUCCC
rnacentral:rRNA from 1 species